AUUGAACGCUGGCGGCAGGCCUAACACAUGCAAGUCGAGCGAGCGGCGGACGGGUGAGUAAUGUAUGGGGAUCUGCCUGAUGGCGGGGGAUAACUACUGGAAACGGCAGCUAAUACCGCUUACCAUCAGCUGAACACAUAUGGGAUUAGCUAGUAGGUAAGGUAACGGCUUACCUAGGCGACGAUCCCUAGCUGGUCUGAGCGGAUGAUCAGCCACAAUGGGACUGAGGCACGGCCCAGCUUCGAACGGGAGGCAGCAGUGGGGAAUAUUGCACAAUGGGCGCAAGCGUGAUACAGACAUGCCGCGUGUAUGAAGAAGGCCUUCGGGUUGUAAAGUACUUUCAGUCUGGAGGCGUUACCGACAGAAGAAGCACCGGCUAACUCCGUGCCAGGAGCCGCGGUAAUUG
rnacentral:rRNA from 1 species